GUUGACCCUCUUGAGACUCAGUGUCCUACAGGGAUGAGCGCGGGAGCUGAAGAGGAUAGCUGGGACCCCAACACCUUUCUUUUGCCUCCCCGCUGCGGGCGCCGCCCUGACGAGCCCUCACGGUGCUGGGAUCACAAGCAGCCCUUUCUAUGCAUCCGUCCAGAGCCGGAGCCCCAACUUCGCGGGAAGUGCCGCCCGCUCACCUUACCGCGUCCGCCGAACCGAGCCUGCGGCGUCUGCUAAAUGUGCGCCAGGCAAAGGGUCAAACUUCCUACUUGCGAACACCGCGGGGUAACCGAGGUCCAGAGCUAGAAGCGGCGGCAACUCCACGGCGCCGCCGCCUCCUCCCGCGUUCCCCGACGCCGACUCGCAGGCGCCCACCAAAGUUGGCAGAGAAGCGCGUGCGCCACGGCGCGAGCUUCCAAACGCAGCGACCUCCGACCGGGCUGGGCGCGGGAGGCGGGACACUCUCAGCCGCAGACGACUCCCACCUCUUAGCACACUGCCCUGCGCACUCACCGGACGCGCUGGGACUGCUCCUGGAGGGAGCGAGGCCGGACCCGCCACAGUGCCGCAAGAGAUUGGAGUGGCGCGCAGGUGCGGGGCCGAGUGAGGGGCGCCUGGCACCGUCCCCGCCCCCGACGCCUGCAGGCUGCCGCGGGGGUGCGUAGAGGCAGCCAAGUCUCCCGGGUCCCCGCAGCGGCAAGAGGGGGCGUCAGCACGCAUCAGUCAGGGCUCUGGCCCCUGACAGCCGCCUGCCCACCCAAAUCAGGGCCUUGGGGCUGAACCCUAGGACAGGGAGCCUCCAGAGCGGACUAGGAGAGGCCAAAGCCCGGAGCUCAGGCGGUGGAGUCUAUAUCUCCUUGCCAGCUUCCACUGGGCAAGCCAGGGAGCCUAUGUAGUUCUUUUACUCCAAACAGGAGGCGUCUCCCACACCCCUUGCUCUACCCGCUGAUGGUCACUAUGCACUGACACCCCUACCCCUGGAUACAUCCUGCCAUUCCCAGCCCCCACUCUUCACGUCCUAAGAGGUUCCUCCCUGCUUUAGGAGAUCCAGUGCCAGUGCCCACUAUCGGAAGGGCCUCAUCCCCACUGGUGGCUUCUCCUGGAAGGGCUAUGGGGUGACAAAGGACCCAGGAGGGUUUGGAAUGCCGAGCACACAGUGAAUGCUGGAACUCCCUUCCCUGUAAUGUCUUCAUGGCCAGAACUGCUCCUGGGUUGUCAAAACUUAAAAUCUGGGCUCACACUUCUAGCCAGAUCCCAGGGAAAUUUGCGUAAUUGUAAUUGGGCCGCCCCCUUUGGGCCUUGGCCAUCUGAAGCUGUCCCCAGGGCUCAAGACAGAAGUACUGGAAUGAAGCCCACCCGGUUCGAGCUGAGACAAGAUCACCAGGACCUGCCUGCAGGAGAGGGCUGAUGAGGACCAGUGGAAGAGCAGGGCCUAGGGUAGGCAAGAAAACAGCAGGUACCCACCUGUGCAGGGGUGGUACACUGUCCUGGGUGCGCAGGCUGCCACGUGUGGACACCACAUUGAAGCUGUCGGUGCAGUCACAUUGCACAUGCAGGUAGGACUUGGGGUGCCGGUUCUCCACUACCACGAUGAGUCCCGCCCAGCCAUGAGUCAGGUAAUAGCAGGUCAUGCCCUCUCGACCCUGGGCACAGGCACAGGGUGGGUGGGCCAGGGCUGGUGGUUGCCCACCCUCUGCCCUCCCCCAUCAGGACCCCACCCACCUCAUGCCGCUCGCCCCGGCUCUCAGUGAGCAGGAUGAUGGCAUCGGCCAGUGUGGUUGGCUGCGCCUCCACCGGCUCCACCAUGACCAGCCUGGAGCUGUACACUGCGAUGUGUGUCACAGUGAAGCAAACUGACUCAUUUUCUGGACACCACAAGAAGCAGAAUGACUUACACAGAGCUCCUUGGGUAGACCAGGAGCUGCCAUUCAGAGGCCUGCAGGAGCUGGGACCCAGACAAGCUGCUUAUCUAGACCAGCUCCCAGAUGCUCUAGCCACAGGAUGGGUGAGGCAUGCAGGAGAAACGGCCCCAUGGGUUCCGGAGUCGCAGGAGCCUGUGGAUCACAGGACUGAGAACCAAAGCUGUGUGCCUUGUGCCAACACACUUAUCCACCCUCAGCCAAUUGGGCCCCUACCUGGAGCCCUGAACAUCACGAACAUCCAAGACAGAGACGCACCCAUGAGGAACCUGUGUGGGCAGAGUAACCCCUGGCUGAUGAAAUGGAUGGACAGCAGGGGAGACCGCCCUCCUUGAAUAUGCGGUGUGCUGUGACCCACAUGACACAUGCUUUCAGGAAGUACUGGCCCACUCUGGAUGAGAGCAAAAACCCAGCCUCAUCACAGGGCAGCAUGUCAUCCACCAGCACUGUUGUCCACGUGCCAUCUUUGCACAGCCGCACCUGGUAGGCACCCUCUGCACAUAGGCUACGUGUGACCAUCACCCUCUCCACGAGGUCGGGACGUUCAGCCAGUACUGCCAACGCACUCAGGAACCUGGAGGGAGCCAGGCAACUUCACAACAUGCCCACAACUGGACCAGCAGCCUCCAUCCUCCCCUGAGCCUGUCUGGCCCUGACGGGAACCUGGAGCCUCACCAGCAGUUCCCCAGCAGCCCCUGUAGGAUGUCAGAGGGCCUCAGGGUGUGGAAGACUGACCACGGAGUGCCGUGGUCCCUGAAGACAGAGCAGUUGAUUUCGUGGGGCCUCAGCCACUGUUUCACUCGCUGCUGGACGCUGUCGCCCACUGGGAAGCCGACAGAUGCAGGCCCGGGGGGGAAGCUGUCAUCCACAAAGUUCACACUAUUCUGCAGGGACCAUGGCCAGACACUCAGGCUGGGCAGGACAGCCUCAGGCCCAGAAUAAUCCCACUCUACCUUUUGGGGGAAGACCCACCCUCCCAAGGGAGCGGCAGAAGGUUGGGGUGGGGCCCUUGCACAUUAAACCAACCUUGGGGCUAGGC
rnacentral:lncRNA from 1 species